UACGGAGGGGGCAAGCGUUAUUCGGAAUUAUUGGGCGUAAAGGGCGCGUAGGCGGCUUGGCAAGUGGAUGGUGAAAUCCCUCGGCUUAACCGAGGAACUGCCAUCCAGACUGCUUUGCUUGAGGCCGGGAGAGGUGAGUGGAAUUCCCAGUGUAGCGGUGAAAUGCGUUGAUAUCGUUCGGAACACCGAAAGCGAAGGCAGGUUACUGGGUGCCACCUGACACUGCUAGGACGAAAGCGUGGGGAGCGAAUGGG
rnacentral:rRNA from 1 species